GAUGAACGCUAGCGGCAGGCUUAAUACAUGCAAGUCGUGGGGCAGCAUGGUGUAGCAAUACACUGAUGGCGACCGGCAAACGGGUGCGGAACACGUACAGAAACUUCCUUCAAGUGGUGAAUAGCCCAGAGAAAUUUGGAUUAAUACACCGUAACAUAUGAGAGUGGCAUCACUUUUAUAUUAUAGCUCCGGCGCUUGAAGAUGGCUGUGCGGCUGAUUAGGUAGUUGGCGGGGUAACGGCCCACCAAGCCUACGAUCAGUAACUGGUGUGAGAGCACGACCAGUCACACGGGCACUGAGACACGGGCCCGACUCCUACGGGAGGCAGCAGUAAAGAAUAUUGGUCAAUGGACGCAAGUCUGAACCAGCCAUGCCGCGUGAAGGAUGAAGGUCCUCUGGAUUGUAAACUUCUUUUAUCUGGGACGAAAAAGGGGCUUUCUAGCUCAACUGAUGGUACCAGAGGAAUAAGCACCGGCUAACUCCGUGCCAGCAGCCGCCGUAACAC
rnacentral:rRNA from 1 species